rnacentral:rRNA from 1 species
CUGCCUACGGGACGCAGCAGUAGGGAAUUUUCGUCAAUGGGCGCAAGCCUGAACGAGCGAUGCCGCGUGAGUGAAGAAGGCCUUCGGGUCGUAAAGCUCUGUUGCGGGGGGAAAAAAGGCAGCAUCAGGAAAUGGGUGCUGACUGAUGGCGCCCCGCCAGAAAGUCACGGCUAACUACGUGCCAGCAGCCGCGGUAAUACGUAGGUGGCGAGCGUUAUCCGGAUUUAUUGGGCGUAAAGGGAACGCAGGCGGUCUUUUAAGUCUGAUGUGAAAGCCUUCGGCUUAAACGUGGUAGUGCAUUGGAA